rnacentral:rRNA from 1 species
AACGAACGCUGGCGGCGUGGAUAAGACAUGCAAGUCGAGCGGGAACUUUUUUGGUAGCAAUACCGAAAAGUUCUAGCGGCGAACGGGUGCGUAACACGUGGACAAUCUGCCUUAAAGUGGGGGAUAGCUCGGCGAAAGCCGAAUUAAUACCGCAUGUGAUGAGAGACGACAUCGUCUUGAAAUCAAAGCCGGGGCAACCUGGCGCUUUUUGAGGAGUCCGCGGCCUAUCAGCNGUUGGUGAGGUAACGGCUCACCAAGGCUAUGACGGGUAGCUGGUCUGAGAGGACGACCAGUCACACUGGAACUGAGACACGGCCCAGACACCUACGGGUGGCAGCAGUCGAGAAUUUUUGACAAUGGGGUAACCCUGAUCGAGCGACGCCGCGUGGAGGAUGAAGGUCUUCGGGUUGUAAAC